GACGAACGCUGGCGGCGUGCCUAAUACAUGCAAGUCGAGCGCGGGAAGCUUGCGGAAUCCUUCGGGAGGAAGUGAGCGGACCGAGCGGCGGACGGGUGAGUAACACGUGGGCAACCUGCCCGUAAGACGGGGAUACCCCCGGGAAACCGGGGCUAAUACCGGAUAGGUGACCUUUCUGCAUGGAGGGGUCAUGAAAGGCGGCGGAAGCCGUCGCUUACGGAGGGGCCCGCGGCGCAUUAGCUAGUUGGUGAGGGAAGGGCUCACCAAGGCGACGAUGCGUAGCCGGCCUGAGAGGGUGAACGGCCACACUGGGACUGAGACACGGCCCAGACUCCUACGGGAGGCAGCAGUAGGGAAUCUUCCGCAAUGGACGGAAGUCUGACGGAGCAACGCCGCGUGAGUGAGGAAGGCCUUCGGGUCGUAAAGCUCUGUUGUUCGUGAAGAAGGGGUUGGCCAGGAAAUGGGCCGACAUUGACGGUAGCGAACCAGAAAGCCCCGGCUAACUACGUGCCAGCAGCCGCGGUAACACGUAGGGGGCAAGCGUUGUCCGGAAUGAUUGGGCGUAAAGGGCGCGCAGGCGGCCUCUUAAGUCUGAUGUGAAAGCCCACGGCUCAACCGUGGAGGGACAUUGGAAACUGGGGGGCUUGAGUGCAGGAGAGGGGAGUGGAAUUCCACGGGUAGCGGUGAAAUGCGUAGAGAUGUGGAGGAACACCAGUGGCGAAGGCGGCUCUCUGGCCUGUGACUGACGCUGAGGCGCGAAAGCGUGGGGAGCGAACAGGAUUAGAUACCCUGGUAGUCCACGCCGUA
rnacentral:rRNA from 1 species